ACGCAACUCUGGAGAGUGCUUUCGUUAUGAACGGAAAGCCACCAAAGGGGAAAGCCAUUUAUGGUAAACUUUCAGGUGCCAGGACAGAGA
rnacentral:ncRNA from 1 species